GACGAACGCUGGCGGCGUGCUUAACACAUGCAAGUCGAACGGAAAGGCCCUGCUUUUGUGGGGUGCUCGAGUGGCGAACGGGUGAGUAACACGUGAGCAACCUGCCUUUGACUUUGGGAUAACUUCAGGAAACUGGGGCUAAUACCGGAUAGGAGCUCCUGCUGCAGGGUGGGGGUUGGAAAGUUUCGGCGGUUGGGGAUGGACUCGCGGCUUAUCAGCUUGUUGGUGGGGUAGUGGCUUACCAAGGCUUUGACGGGUAGCCGGCCUGAGAGGGUGACCGGCCACAUUGGGACUGAGAUACGGCCCAGACUCCUACGGGAGGCAGCAGUGGGGAAUAUUGCACAAUGGGCGGAAGCCUGAUGCAGCAACGCCGCGUGCGGGAUGACGGCCUUCGGGUUGUAAACCGCUUUCGCCUGUGACGAAGCGUGAGUGACGGUAAUGGGUAAAGAAGCACCGGCUAACUACGUGCCAGCCGCCGCGGUAA
rnacentral:rRNA from 1 species